GCAGGUGCCAUUUUGAAAUUGCUCUAGCACUUCGCAAAGUUUUAUGUUUGACAAAAACGCAAUUACUGCAAAUUCUACCAGCUAUUUGCCUGAAAAAAAGGAUGAUAGUGGAAUAUUUAUGGAUCUGGUACCGUAUAAGUUGAUUUUGUAGUUCCGUAUGACGGAACGACUAUGGAAAAGAGGAACAAGUAGAACUGCAGUCUGAAAUCAACUGCGGCUUGCGGUUGGAUUUACGCAAAGCUGCCGGAGGAUUAUAGAUAUGCCGUAAUGUAACGGGCGUGAGGAAAAGGCCGAUUCCGAUUCCGGAAAAGGCCGGUGAAAGUGUCCGGCCUCGACUGUGCAAUUCCCCUUGACCCUGCUCCCAAUCAUCGGUCUGUGGCCAUAAGAAGAUUGUAAACACCAGCCUACCCCCGCUUGUUCAACUGUCCUGGCAAGACGAAGCUUAUUUGCCAUAAAGCUCAUUCCAAUAUCAGGAGCUCUUAACAAUUUAAAGCCAUGGAAGACGAUCUGUAAAUCUAUAUGACUGCAACC